AAUAAAGUUACAAAAAAAAACAUAUCCACAGUAAAAUAUCACAGUGUUAUUGCAUAAUUCAUUCAUAGUCAAAGUGAUUGAAUUAAUUAUCAUCAAUUGUUACAUGCUAUUGCAAUUUGCUAGUACUAUUUAGGAUAAAUAAAUCAUCAUGCUUCGCUAAUAAAUCUCAUUCAGUUUUUUUGUUUGCUUUUCAUCAAUCUCUCUUCUUUUUGCGCUCGAUGGAGAAACUUUUCACGUUGAUUCAGCUUCCUUUCCUUUGAUAGAGUUUAUGAGAAUCGAACGUUCAAUCUUUGUUUCGGUUUUUGCUUUUCGUUUUUAAUGUUCUCAUAUUAAACACUUUUUUCCUUUAGGAAACGAAUCUUAACCUCUUUUUUUUUGUAAACUUUUAGGUAACGAAUCUUUAUCAGUUUAAUCUAUAAAUGACAGAGGCGUUGAUGCUGUAAUGUCAAAGCUCUUUUAAGAAGUUCAAGAACUGGUGCAAAUUUUUAGGACGUAAACACAGUUCUUAAGGUUCUGAAGAUAUAAUACAACAGCGGAAGAUACUAUAUAUGGGUUUGUAUCUACUCGAAGCUGCAAAAUUAGCGUCAUGCCAGAAUGCUUAUGCUAUAUAUUUUCCACAAUAUGGCUGGAAAUGUGAGCAUCGUCACUGGUGAAAAAAACAUUAAGCCUUCAUCAGGUGGAGAUGAUGAGGAUUGAGGCAUUUCUACGGAAGGUCAUUA